CCUACGGGAGGCAGCAGUGGGGAAUUUUGGACAAUGGGCGCAAGCCUGAUCCAGCCAUUCCGCGUGAGUGAAGAAGGCCUUCGGGUUGUAAAGCUCUUUCGGCAGGGAAGAAACAGUUGAGGCUAAUAUCCUUGACCAAUGACGGUACCUGCAUAAGAAGCACCGGCUAACUACGUGCCAGCAGCCGCGGUAAUACGUAGGGUGCGAGCGUUAAUCGGAAUUACUGGGCGUAAAGCGUGCGCAGGCGGUUUUUCAAGUCUGAUGUGAAAGCCCCGGGCUUAACCUGGGAACUGCGUUGGAAACUGAAAGACUAGAGUGCGGCAGAGGGGGGUAGAAUUCCACGUGUAGCAGUGAAAUGCGUAGAUAUGUGGAGGAAUACCGAUGGCGAAGGCAGCCCCCUGGGUCGACACUGACGCUCAUGCACGAAAGCGUGGGUAGCAAACAGGAUUAGAUACCCUGGUAGUCCACGCCCUAAACGAUGUCAACUAGUUGUUGGGGNGGGAGACCUCCUUAGUAACGCAGCUAACGCGUGAAGUUGACCGCCUGGGGAGUACGGUCGCAAGAUUAAAACUCAAAGGAAUUGACGGGGGCCCGCACAAGCGGUGGAUUAUGUGGAUUAAUUCGAU
rnacentral:rRNA from 1 species